GAUCUGCAGGCAGCUUUGGUGAAGAAAAGGUGCGCGUGAAGAGCAGUGAAACUGACCGACAGGUGGACAGUCAUCCCGACGUGAGAGGAUCCUCUCCACCCGUCCUCCCUGGCGCUCUCUCUCUCUCUCUCUCUCAGAAUGGAAAUGUGAGACGCAGUGAGACGAGGCCGGUGACUACGUUACUCCAACGGGCCAAUCAGAGCGUGGCACAUCUGGAGGAAUCUGUCUGCAGGCCCAGCUGGAAGCACUACAGGAGACAGCAGAGGAGAGGAGAGGAGGAACAUGUGAGAUUCAAGAUGGCUGAGG
ensembl:lncRNA